rnacentral:rRNA from 1 species
GACGAACGCUGGCGGCGUGCUUAACACAUGCAAGUCGAACGGAAAGGCCCUGCUUUUGUGGGGUGCUCGAGUGGCGAACGGGUGAGUAACACGUGAGUAACCUGCCCUUGACUUUGGGAUAACUUCAGGAAACUGGGGCUAAUACCGGAUAGGAGCUCCUGCUGCAUGGUGGGGGCUGGAAAGUUUCGGCGGUUGGGGAUGGACUCGCGGCUUAUCGGCUUGUUGGUGGGGUAGUGGCUUACCGAGGGUUCGGCGGGUACCCGGCCUGGGAGGGCGGCCGGGGACGUUGGGCCUGAGGGAGGGCCCAGGGGGGUACGGGGGGCAGCGGGGGGGAGUAUUGCGCAGUGGGCGGGAGCGUGGUGCGGCGGCGCCGGGUGCGGGAUGACGGCCUGCGGGUUGUGAACCGCUUUCGCCUGUGACGAAGCGUGGGUGACGGUAAUGGGUAAAGAAGCACCGGCUAACUACGUG